CAACGUGGGUAACCUGCCCAAGAGAUCGGGAUAACACCUGGAAACAGAUGCUAAUACCGGAUAACAACAGAUGAUGCCUAUCAACUGUUUAAAAGAUGGUUCUGCUAUCACUCUUGGAUGGACCUGCGGUGCAUUAGCUAGUUGGUAGGGUAACGGCCUACCAAGGCGAUGAUGCAUAGCCGAGUUGAGAGACUGAUCGGCCACAUUGGGACCGAGACACGGCCCAAACUCCUACGGGAGGCAGCAGCC
rnacentral:rRNA from 1 species